rnacentral:siRNA from 1 species
AGAUAAAGUGCGGUGCGGUUCAAA